AUUGAACGCUGGCGGCAGGCCUAACACAUGCAAGUCGAACGAGUGGCGGACGGGUGAGUAAUGUCUGGGAAACUGCCCGAUGGAGGGGGAUAACUACUGGAAACGGUAGCUAAUACCGCAUACCAUCGGAUGUGCCCAGAUGGGAUUAGCUUGUAGGUGAGGUAACGGCUCACCUAGGCGACGAUCCCUAGCUGGUCUUAGAGGAUGACCAGGCACACUGGAGCUGAGACACGGUCCAGACUCCUACGGGAGGAUGCCGUGGGGAAUAUUUCACAAUGGGCGCAAGCCUGAUGCAGCCAUGCCGAGUGUAUGAAUAAGUCCUUCGUGUUGUAAAGUACUUUCAUCGGGGAGGCGUUCCCCGCAGAAGAAGCACCGGCUAACUCCGUGCCAGCAGCCGCGGGAAUAC
rnacentral:rRNA from 1 species